AUUGAACGCUGGCGGCAGGCCUAACACAUGCAAGUCGAACGAGUGGCGGACGGGUGAGGAAUGUCUGGGAAACUGCCUGAUGGAGGGGGAUAACUACUGGAAACUGUAUCUAAUACCGCAUACCAUCAGAUGUGCCCAGAUGGGAUUAGCUUGUUGGUGGGGUAACGGCUCACCAAGUCGACGAUCCCUAGCUGGUCUGAGAGGAUGACCAGCCACACUGGAAAGGAGACACGGUCCAGACUCCUACGGGAGGCAGCAGUGGGGAAUAUUGCACAAUGGGCGCAAGCCUGAUGCAGCCAUGCCGCGUGUAUGAAGAAGGCCUUCGGGUUGUAAAGUACUUUCAGCGGGGAGGCGUUACCCGCAGAAGAAGCACCGGCUAACUCCGUGCCAGCAGCCGCGGUAAUUC
rnacentral:rRNA from 1 species